GUGACAGAUACCUAAGGAUUGUUAUAGGUAACACAGAAUCAAUAGCCUGCCCAAGUAUCCACAAGCGAAUCUGUGCCACAGAUGGCAAAACAUAUGCCAAUGAAUGUGAGAUUUGCAAACAUAACCUGAUAAAUAAGGAAACGGUUGGCAAGAAGUAUCUUGGGAAAUGCAACGAGGAAUAAUAAAAGGCUUCUUUUCCUUCAGCAAUUGGGAGAAUGCUGGCUGAGUCUCCAAAAAUCAUACAACCACAGUGGACCAUUUGACCAGGGAACCAUUGGACCAGGGAACCACCUCCUUGUCUAACAUCUCUUUCUGCUGCAAGCCAGGCCUAUCCACCCAUCCAUCAAUCAGAUGUUCACAAAUUAAUUUAUGCAAAUACACUUCUUUGGCUCGGGCCUAGCUUUCACUGAGGUGAUCAACCUGUCUGUGCACCAUACCACUUCCUACUGAGUGAAGCUCAUAUGACUGAAUAACACUUCAAAAAACAACAAAACUCUUGCAUAUAUAUAUAGCUGGCUUGUCAGAAAGCUAGACUGGACUCUGUCUCCCUAAAAUCUAGUUUUCUAUGAAAGUAUGCUUCUGUACAGAUGGGUAUUCAAUCUUGUGAGUCCCCACCUACAGUCUGAAGUGGUACAUCCUAUACACAUGCUUAUGACUAGUAAAAACUAGUCAACACAGUGCAACCCUGCGUAUAUUAUUUGCUUGGAAGUAAGUCUCUGUUCAGUGAGGUUUAUUC